GAUGAACGCUGGCGGCGUGCCUAAUACAUGCAAGUCGAGCGAACAGACGAGGAGCUUGCUCCUCUGACGUUAGCGGCGGACGGGUGAGUAACACGUGGAUAACCUACCUAUAAGACUGGGAUAACUUCGGGAAACCGGAGCUAAUACCGGAUAAUAUAUUGAACCGCAUGGUUCAAUAGUGAAAGACGGUUUUGCUGUCACUUAUAGAUGGAUCCGCGCCGCAUUAGCUAGUUGGUAAGGUAACGGCUUACCAAGGCAACGAUGCGUAGCCGACCUGAGAGGGUGAUCGGCCAGACUGGAACUGAGACACGGUCCAGACUCCUACGGGAAGCAGCAGUAGAGAAUCUUCCGCAAUGGACGAAAGCUUGACGGAGCAACGCCGCGUGAGUGAUGAAGGUCUUCGGAUCGUAAAACUCUGUUAUUAGGGAAGAACAAAUGUGUAAGUAACUAUGCACAUCUUGACGGUACCUAAUCAGAAAGCCACGGCUAACUACGUG
rnacentral:rRNA from 1 species